rnacentral:rRNA from 1 species
CUCUUAUGAAGUUAGCGGCGGACGGGUGAGUAACACGUGGGUAACCUGCCCAUAAGACUGGGAUAACUCCGGGAAACCGGGGCUAAUACCGGAUAAUAUUUUGCACCUCAUGGUGCGAAAUUGAAAGGCGGCUUCGGCUGUCACUUAUGGAUGGACCCGCGUCGCAUUAGCUAGUUGGUGAGGUAACGGCUCACCAAGGCGACGAUGCGUAGCCGACCUGAGAGGGUGAUCGGCCACACUGGGACUGAGACACGGCCCAGACUCCUACGGGAGGCAGCAGUAGGGAAUCUUCCGCAAUGG